GCAAGUCGAGGGGUAACGAAAGUAGCUUGCUACUAGGCGACGACCGGCGCACGGGUGAGUAACACGUAUGCCACCUCCCUUUUACAGAGGAUCGCCCAGAGAAAUUUGGAUUAAUACCUCAUAGUAUUUUUGAAUCGCAUGAUUUAGUGAUUAAAACUCCGGUGGUAAAAGAUGGGCAUGCGUUCUAUUAGUUAGUUGGUGAGGUAACGGCUCACCAAGGCGACGAUAGAUAGGGGUUCUGAGAGGGUAGUC
rnacentral:rRNA from 1 species